ACAAAAAAAUUUUAUAGUGAAAUCUCCAGAAGAUGUUAUAAUUACAACAUACAUAGAAAGUGAACUAAAUUUAAUUUAAGAAGAACUAAAAAGCACUACAGGUCAUAAACCCAUAUACGAAAAACAAGAAGUCUUAUUAACAUAGGAGGAAGAGUCUUAAACUUUUUAUUCGGAACUAUGGAUGAUGAGGACAAAAUAGAAAUAGAAAACAGAUUAAAAACACUAACCGUGAAUAAUCACGAGUUAAUAAUCAAUAAUAAUAAACAGGUGCUGCCGGUUACAAACCAUGAUGUAGAAAGCAAUUUCCCCUUAAGAAAUUCGGAAAGUUUGCUCAGAACAAAGGCGCUAGUCUCCAGACUUUCGCUUUUAUUUGUAGAUAGUUAUUUGAAGCCUGUUGAAGUAAAGUAUAUAUUUCUACACUCAAUUGUUACUGUAUCAUGAUCGUUGAGAUAUGUCUCAGCGGCUAUGUCUAUGUCUCUGCCAAUAGUAAGGUUCACGGAAUGCAACAACACCACCAGAAUCACAAAUUACAUUCCGAAUUAGCGAAUAUCCUCAGCUGCAGCUAAGUCAUUUUAUAAUGACUUAACAGCGGCAAUAGCAACGGCAGAGUAUGCAGGCAAAUCAGGAUUUCCAACGUCCCUUGCCCAUUCAUCAGCUGCCAAAAAGUAUGGAACAAGCCGACCAAAAAAAAAAACUACUCUUGCAGCUCUAACUGAAGCAACAUCUUCUGGUUUCAUAGAGUGCAACAGCACAUGGGGUUCAGUUGUAUCUAAAUCGAUGCUUGUAAUGCCAACUAUCUCACUAAAGAACGGCAGGGGCACUGCUGACUGAGUCAUCGGCUACUGCGGCUACUUAGGCCGACGCAGACCACGUAGAGGAUGAAAGCAACCUGCUCUGAGAACACCUCCUAAAUGACGGGAGUCAAAAAUCAUUUACAGAAAAAAUAGAAGUUUAAUUCCUAAAUACACACAAUACUUAUUGAAUCAUAAAAAGAACUAUGUAACUGGAAUCACAAAGAAGUCCAUCGACACAGGAACUAUUCAAAUGAAGUUAUCGCAACCUUCACCAAAAAUUUCCAAAAAUAAUACAACCGGAAAUUGUGCAUUUAUGACAUGGUAAGAUUGGGAUUUUGGAAUUUACCUCGCAAAAGAAUGUUUUAUAAUUAUAAACCAAUUAACUUGCUACAAUUUAAUUGUGCCUCCAUUGACCAGAAGGCUUAUAAUGGCAAAACUACUUCAAACAACAAAAUGAUCCUCCAGUGAAGAUGAUUAUAGUCGAAGACAUGCUUUAAAUCUUAUCCGUUAAUAAUCAAGCUUCGCAGCGCAGCUAGUUUUUAAAUAAAUUUGUAAUUUUUUUUUCAAAAUUGUAUGUAUUUAUGUAUUCAGGUUAACUUUGUUUUAAAUUCAACGCUUAUAAUGUAUUUUCACUUAAAAAACAAUAACUAGAUGUUAAAAUUUAACUUCUUAGGUUUUGAGUAAAUAAAAAAGAUAUUAAAUGUACUUUUUUUCAAAGAAAAACACUUCUUUCUGGUUUUCCCAAAUUUGAUAUGCUCAGGUCGAUUAUUAUAGUGGAUUAUAAAUUUUUUAUUUUUUGUUUCGUUUUUAGCAAAUAAUAAUAAAAAACAAACAAGCUCUUUUAAGUAGAUUUUAUUUUUUUAUUAAGACAUGUUUAAUUUAACAAAAAUUAAAAACUAAGUAUUUUUAAUCCUAUUCCUAUGUAUGUAUAUAAUUGCUUUCGAAUUACAAACAAAAUAAUAUCCCAAGAGCCUACAUUGAUAGAGUAAUUCUGGAUUCGGGUUGAAAUAGAAGAUGUU